GAGUUUGAUCCUGGCUCAGCCACGAACGCUGGCGGCGUGCUUAACACAUGCAAGUCGAACGAGAAUCACCGGAAAGAGGAUUCGUCCAAUGGAAGGUGAGGAAAGUGGCGGACGGGUGAGUAACGCGUGAGGAACCUGCCUUGGAGAGGGGGACAACAGCUGGAAACGGCUGCUAAUACCGCAUAACAUAUCUGAAUCGCAUGGUUUGGAUAUCAAAGAUUUAUCGCUCUGAGAUGGCCUCGCGUCUGAUUAGCUUGUUGGCGGGGUAACGGCCCACCAAGGCGACGAUCAGUAGCCGGACUGAGAGGUUGAACGGCCACAUUGGGACUGAGAUACGGCCCAGACUCCUACGGGAGGCAGCAGUGGGGAAUAUUGGGCAAUGGGCGCAAGCCUGACCCAGCAACGCCGCGUGAAGGAAGAAGGCUUUCGGGUUGUAAACUUCUUUUAAGGGGGAAGAGGAGAAGACGGUACCCCUAGAAUAAGCCACGGCUAACUACGUGCCAGCAGCCGCGGUAAUACGUAGGUGGCAAGCGUUGUCCGGAUUUACUGGGUGUAAAGGGCGUGUAGCCGGGUCUGCAAGUCAGAUGUGAAAUCCAUGGGCUUAACCCAUGAACUGCAUUUGAAACUGUGGAUCUUGAGUGCUGGAGGGGCAAUCGGAAUUCCUAGUGUAGCGGUGAAAAUGCGUAGA
rnacentral:rRNA from 1 species